rnacentral:rRNA from 1 species
UGGGGAAUAUUGGACAAUGGGCGAAAGCCUGAUCCAGCCAUGCCGCGUGUGUGAAGAAGGUCUUCGGAUUGUAAAGCACUUUAAGUUGGGAGGAAGGGCAGUAAGCGAAUACCUUGCUGUUUUGACGUUACCGACAGAAUAAGCACCGGCUAACUCUGUGCCAGCAGCCGCGGUAAUACAGAGGGUGCAAGCGUUAAUCGGAAUUACUGGGCGUAAAGCGCGCGUAGGUGGUUCGUUAAGUUGAAUGUGAAAGCCCCGGGCUCAACCUGGGAACUGCAUCCAAAUCUGGCGAGCUAGAGUAGGGCAGAGGGUGGUGGAAUUUCUUGUGUAGCGGAGAAAUGCGUAGAUAUAGGAAGGAACACCAGUGGCGAAGGCGACCACCUGGGCUCAUACUGACACUGAGGUGCGAAAGCGUGGGGAGCAAACAGG